rnacentral:lncRNA from 1 species
UGGUGGGUGCAGGGCAGAUGCAGGCCCGGCCGCCCCAGCCUUGUCCCCCUACUGUCUCUGUAGUGGGUCACACUGUGGGUCACCCUCCUCCAAGGGCCCCACGUCUCGGGCAGACAGAGCAGGGGGUGAGGGGCCCCGGGGGCCGAGCCAGCUCUGACCUCCUCUGAGCACCUGCCUGCAGCCAGCCCCUCUGCCUGCCAACCACCGGCCCUCAGCAGUCCCUAUAUCCUCAAAUCCGCCCCAUCCCCCACUUGGCUAUACUGGAAGUGGGCACGCUUCUGUUACCCAAAUCCCAUCCUUCCAGCCUGAUAGGAAGGAACGCCCUGGCAGUGCUGUCUGGUCCUAGCCACAGUGACCCAGAGGCCAGGUGUCGGGGGCUGGGGCCGGUGAGGGCUCUGAGGGGCCGCCCAGUGCUCAGGAGCCAGGGCUCUGCUGCUACUGGGGCCUGAGUGGGGCUGCAGCCCCAGCCUUGGCACCUGGAACAAGGGACAGCCACACAUGUGCCUGUCUGAGUCUGGGGCAGGGCUUAUGCAGGCCGGGCCCGGCCCUUGGCGGGUGUUCAGGGCCUGAUACUACCACCCUUAGGAGUGGGGCAGGCACCGGGCAGGUUUGUGAGAACUGCACCCACAUUUCCGCCACAGCUGGAAGAGGACGUGCCAACCGGAGUCCCACCAGGGGCGGGGGUAGGGGCAGGUGGGUGGGGUGGGGUGGGGGCGGUGUCCAGAGAAGCCUGGGCUUUCCCCUGAGUCCCCAGGGACCCCGUUGCCGGGCUCAGGCCCUCUCAGGAGCCCAUUCUGUCCUCCACGCGGGUCUUAAGGAUGGAAUUCUGCAUCCCUGGCCCCUCCCAGAUGGAGCCCUGGACACUGCGGAGGCUGAGCCUCAGUAUUCCCCAUGCCCCAGAGCUGUGCUGUCCCCCAGGCUGGGAGCUGGGGCAGAAGUCAACUCCAGCCUACAUGGGCCCAGCAGCUACCUCCAGAUGCCCCAAAACAGGUGCAAAGGGAUACCCAGCUGCUCAUGAAAAUGAAUCCCAGAUGGAGACAAAGAGCCCUGCCUGGCCCUGGCCUGGCGUGGCCGGAUGUCCCUUUCCACCUUCCUGCUCACAGAGGAGGCUGGGCUUCUGAGGCCUGAGGGGCCAGGCAGGAAGCCAUGGGCCACAAGGCACCCCUGGGCCCCCGCUCCCCGACUUCCUGCAUGGUAGAAGGCCCGUCCCGGGGCCAACUGCCUCUGCCACCACUGCCUGGAUGAGUGAGGGCAGGAGGUGGAAGGGUGAGGUGGGGCCCUGACCCUCGGGAAGAGGGGUCCUGGACUCAGUUUCCCUCCCUGUCCUGAGGCUGCUGCCUUCUAGCCAGAUCCUGGUUUCCAGGGGCCCUGUCCUGCCCAGCAGUUCCCACAGUGCUGGCUGGUUCUCAAAGGGAGACCCCAGGAGACCCCCCCCCAGGAGACACCUGGGCAGGGCAGGGGCAGCUCUGGGGGGGGGCAGCCAUAUGGUGACCCCUCCACUGCCCACAGCCACACAGCCCCUCCCCGUAACCUUCUCUGCAUUUGCUAAUGUUUUGUGACAUGAAGCCCUGAGAUUAAUUUUUUGCCUGUCUUAAUUGAAGGAACCAUUUAGUGCCGAUUUAACUAUUAUUACCAAAUCAUCAGGAUUGAUGCAGUGCGCACACGCACGCGCCAAUCGUGUUUGGAGGAGCUCGGAGGAUUUAUGCAAAUGGGCCUGCCGGGAGAGGCAAUUUGUAGCCGAGAAGGACAAUUAUACCAGGCCCGGGAGUGCGCCAACGACUGCGCCGGGCGGGUAAUGGAUAAUAACAUCGCGCCGGCAGCCGUGAGCAGCUCCACAGCGUGACCAACGACUUUAUACAGUGCAGAUAAAGAGGCCUGCACGCAACACCGCCUCACACUCCAGGGGGGCCGGGCGGGGACGAUGCCACAGCCAGGUGUGCAGAGCCGGCGUGGCUGGGCCUGGGGGCCGUGACUUCCAGAGGGGGACCCGGGCCAGGGUGGUGCUGGGAGCUGCCAGAAGGGCAAAGCCUGUCUGGAGCAGGGCUCUGUCUGCUGGUCACUCUCGAUGGUCUAGGAAGGGCAGGGCCAGGCCUUCAGAGUAGGUGUGAAGGGGCACCAGCAGCCUGGAAGCCUCAGGGGAGCCUGGACCCUGCUCCCCAGCCUCGAGGGCCCAGGGCCGGCCACACGCGCCCUGCCAUGCCAGUGCCCAGGACUCAC